rnacentral:rRNA from 1 species
CCUACGGGGGGCAGCAGUCGAGAAUCUUCGGCAAUGGGCGCAAGCCUGACCGAGCGACGCCGCGUGGAGGAUGAAGGCCUUCGGGUUGUAAACUCCUGUCGAGGGGGAACAAGGUGGCGCGAAGAGCGUCGCUUGAGUGAUCCCUGGAGGAAGCACGGGCUAAGUUCGUGCCAGCAGCCGCGGUAAGACGAACCGUGCGAACGUUAUUCGGAAUCACUGGGCUUAAAGCGCGUGUAGGCGGGCCGGCACGUCGAGAGCUGAAAGCCCCCGGCCCA